UACGGAAGGCAGCAGUGGGGAAUAUUGCACAAUGGGCGCAAGCCUGAUGCAGCCAUGCCGCGUGUAUGAAGAAGGCCUUCGGGUUGUAAAGUACUUUCAGUCGUGAGGAAGGUGUUAAGGUUAAUAACCUUAGCAAUUGACGUUAGCGACAGAAGAAGCACCGGCUAACUCCGUGCCAGCAGCCGCGGUAAUACGGAGGGUGCGAGCGUUAAUCGGAAUUACUGGGCGUAAAGGGCACGCAGACGGUUAAUUAAGUUGGAUGUGAAAUCCCCGGGCUUAACCUGGGAAUGGCAUUCAAGACUGGUUAGCUAGAGUCUUGUAGAGGGGGUAGAAUUCCAUGUGUAGCGGUGAAAUGCGUAGAGAUGUGGAGGAAUACCGGUGGCGAAGGCGGCCCCUGGGACAAAGACUGACGCUCAUGUGCGAAAGCGUGGGGAGCAAACAGGAUUAGAUACC
rnacentral:rRNA from 1 species